rnacentral:misc_RNA from 1 species
GAUGUCACUGUAAUAUGCUGAACAAAAAGUAAAAUGGAAAAGUCGUCAGAAAACUCAAUAACUGAUUCUUAAUGAAUGUUUCUCCCUAUAAUAUAUAUUUUGGCGCUGGAGACAAUAAAACCUUAAGACACAGUAAACAUGGCCUCAUUAUAUGCGACAUAUACCAUGUUUAUCUAUAAGGCAUUCCAUGUCCGCACAAUAUGGAGGCAUCACAUAUUAUAAGCACCACAAUUCAAUUCUGUGCACCGAUCCACUGUAAUAUCUAAAGGGGAUAUUAAAGAUAUGUUCUACAAACUUUAGAGCAUAAUUUGGAAGUGCUCAAAGCCUCAAACUGCAUCUUAACAGAUAUUGCGUGUAAAACAUUACUAACAUAAGAUUUUAGUACCAUGCCGAAAUGGAAAAAGAGUACACUGUCAAACAACAAUGUACAAAGGAAACAAGCACGGAGUACUCAAUUGUGAACACCAAAUGUUUAGAAAAUGAAUUUACCAAGAAUAAGGAACUUGAGAUGAUGAG